rnacentral:rRNA from 1 species
AUUGAACGCUGGCGGCAGGCCUAACACAUGCAAGUCGAGCGGAUGCAGGGAGCUUGCUCCUGGAUUCAUCGGCGGACGGGUGAGUAAUGCCUAGGAAUCUGCCUUGUAGUGGGGGAUAACGUCCUGAAACGGGCGCUAAUACCGCAUCCGUCCUGUGGUAGAAAUUGGGGGAUCUUCGGACCUCUCGCUAUCAGAUGAGCCUAGGUCGGAUUAGCUAGUUGGUGGGGUAAAGGCCUACCAAGGCGACGAUCCGUAACUGGUCUGAGAGCAUGAUCCGACAGCCUGGAAGUGAGGAACGGUACAGACUCCUGCAGGAGGCAGCAGUGGAGAAUAUUAGACGAUGGACGAGAGCGUAAUACUGCAAUGCCGCGUGUGUGAUGAAGGUCUUCGGAUUGUAGAGCACUUUAGGUUGGGAGGAAGGAAAGUAAGUUAAUACCGUACUGUAUUGACGUUACCAACAGAAUAAGCACCGGCUAACUUCGUG